UUGAUCCUGGCUCAGAGUGAACGUGUGGCGGCGUGCGUAACACAUGCAAGUCGAACGAGAACUGGGGAGCUUGCUCCCCGGGGACAGUGGCUAACGGGUGAGUAACACGUAGAAUAAUACUGCCUCGAGCGGCGUGAUAACUCCGUGAAAGCGGACGCUAAUACCGCAUGAAACUUUGGAGCAUAAGCAUUCAAACUCCAAGCUUCCGGGUGCUUGAGGAUGAGCUCGCGGCCUAUCCACUUGUCGGUAGGGUAACGGCCUACGCACGGCAACGAUGGGUAGCCGACCUGAAAUGGUGUUCGUGUCCCACUGGGACUGCAACACGGACCCAGACUCCUACUCCAGGCAGCACUGCGGAAUCUUGCGCAAUGGGCGAAAGCCUGACGCAACGACGCCGCGUCGAGGAUGAAAGUAUUCGGAUAGUAAACUCCUGUCCGAGGUGAAGACAGCCCUUAUGGGUCUGACGGUAACCUCAGACGAAACCCCGGCUAACUACGUGCCAGCAGCCGCGGUAAUACGUAGGGGGCAAACGUAGCUCGGAAUUACUGCGCGUAGCUGGUGCGCAGGUGGCUGAGAAAGUCGUGUAUGAAGUCCCGUGGCUUAGCCCCGGAACUGACUUCGAUACUUCUCAGCUUGACGAUAGUCGAGGAGAACUGGCAAUUCCCGUGCUGGAGCGGCGAAAUGCGUAGAUUUCGUGACGAACAGCAGACGCGAAGUGCGGUACUCUACGCUGAUCCUGACCCUGAGGUACGAUGGCUAGGCGAGCGAACCGGACUUAGAUACCCCGGUAGUCCUAUCUGU
rnacentral:rRNA from 1 species